GCCACCAGAGCUCGCGAACCUUGCCGACACCUCGACUCCUCCGUCUCUGGUGCGCCGCUGGAGCAUCUGUCGCCUGCCGGCGAGCUCACCAGCGAGCAGCAGCCGCCCUCCUGCCUUGCCUUUUUCCCGUCCUUCCAUGCUCCUCUCUCACCUCUCUCUGCCUUGCCUCCACAGGGACAUCGGGACAUCGCCGGCAUGCGGAACGAAGCCGCCCCAACUGGAUCCACGUCCUCCGCCAUCGCCCGCUCUCCCACCAUUCUUCCUCACCUCGAAUUGGUCGCGCCGGUAGCCGUCGUUGCCAGAUCCUACCUUGGUCGCCCACUGGAAGAUCCAGCACCCUAUGCAUUGCCACAUCGCGCCUCUCACCGUCGAGGGCGGCAGGAACGACGGAGUCGUGCAUGUGUCGGCUCCUAUGUGGUGCGUGCGGAGCCACUGGCUCACGGAACGGCUGCAGGCCUGGAGCACCCCCUACCUCGAGCGGCACGCAUGCAUGGUUGGUGGUCGAGACAUCAGAGGAGCUUCAGCAGAGAAACAAGGCCGCCGAGCCAAAUUUGCUGAACCAGGCUGCCAAGUUUGAGGUAAAAAAACUCAGCAGGGAAGUAUCUAUCCUGAAUUUUCUGCACUACAUAAAUUUACCCAUAGAAUAUAUCUCUAAUAGUACCCUGUCCAAAAUGUUAGUGUUAUUUCUGCAAUUUUGCAAGCCGAAUUUGUGCCAAGUGCAUUGCUUAAUAUAUCUCUAAUAGUAUAUGUCCAUUGCUAUUUCCGAGAUCUUCAAUCAAUUUCUAUUACAACAAAAAAAUGAUCCCUAUCAACAUAUAUAGUAUGCACUGGGAAAUCAUGAUUCAUGGGCAGCUGAUAUAUACAAUGGUUGAUAACAAUUACUUUAGGGUCUCCAUUCUACUAUUUUUUUUACAUACUCAACAAAUUUGUGACAUCUUAUCUGGUAGAGAAAACAGUCCGAGAUAUUCUGUUCUUACCUACACAUAAUUCCGUAUUGAUGACUUAGCAUUCAACAUGAUUCAGUUUCUAGCCUGUAUACAUUAGUAUUAUUAUGAGCCGCCUAAAAAGUUUUUGGGCUUUUAGUUUCAGUUAUAGUCAUGGACUGGGCACAAUUCACAGAAUAAGAAAAUGUAUCAAGCAUUAAUUUUAUAUGUGUGAAGCAUUUUACAAUGAAACGUUAUUCAGAUCUCUCUUUCAGAUCUCUCUUACAGAUUUCUCUUACAUGAAAAUUCUAAACAUUAUUCAGUACUGAGGACCAAAUUUAGAAAAUUCUAAACGAGUGGUGAGUUCAAUCAGGUGAAAAAUUGUAGGUCGAACAUGAAAGGAUGCACAUUCGUUUUUGAAGUUGAAAAUAACGUUUCAUGAAGCAAACUUGAGAUAUUCUGCUAAUGAUAGGAAGCGUGGUUUAAAACUGCUCUGGCUGGAGUUGUAUGCUUUGUGACUGAAGACUAGAGCUUGGUGUCAUGGUGACUUGCAGCCACUCCUGAUGGUCCUACCACCCAGCUUUUACUCUCUCAAAUUUCCUUAUUUUCAUAUUAACACUGCUAUUGGGGUCAAUCUAUGUUGUUUACUGCUCUAAUCAAGCUAUUGCUAGGAUUCCAUGUUUCCUACAUUGUAUUAUGCUGAUCAUUAGUAAUUCAACCUACAUUGUAUUAUACUGGUCAUUAGUGGAAUGUUGAUUCUGUGAUAAUCUUAAUACAUCCAUGGCUGUUGAGGAAAUAGGGAAAAUGUAUAAACUGGUGAAAUAUCACACAUUAACCUCCUCUUAGAUCUAAACUAAGAUCAUAUGGGUUCGGCCGUGCAUGUCCAUACAUAGUGCAUCGGGUUAAUGUGCCUGAAGCGUAAGGACUCAUGACAUAUUAACGAAGUGCACAUGUUGAGUUAAAAAAGUGUACAUUUGUUUUUUCUAUUACGAAACAUUUGACGAUGUUUUGUUUUGAUCUUAAACAAAAUGGUGCAGAAGCAAGUCAAGGUUUAGUUACUGUAAUUUUACUUACUGUAAUUUCCACUCUGUUCUCUACAAGAAAAAUAAAUUAUGGAUAAAUUGCAGUGAUAAGCUAUCAAAAAGAGACGUACAUUUACUUAUAUUGCUCAAUAUUCAAUUGAUCGAUUAGUUUUUAGUUACAAAAGUGUGAUGUUUCAAAACUGAAAAACGAACUAUUGGUUUAGUAACUAAUUACAAAACACAACUAAGCAUGGAAAUAAGUAGCUAAUUGUUUUGGCGUCACCUACUUAUGUAAUAUCUGUUCCCGUAUGCACAUUUCUUUCUAUUUUCCAGUUAUGUGACAUGAUUGUCUGAAGUUUAAUGCAACCCUCGAAAUGUUUCUUGACUAAAUGUCUAAAUUCAGUGCACCUAGGAUUUUCUUUAUGAGGUUGCAUCAGUAUAUUAUACUGGGCUUUUGAUUCAAAUACGAAUUUCUCCAACUAUCUUUUGUGCCCGGUGUAGUCUCUUCCUCGCGUUGGGGAAUUCAGAUGGUUAUCAGAAUCAAUUGGGGCAUGCUCGCAACAACAUCACUAUUCACAUGGUUGAGGUGGCAGAGCAGCUAAACCAGACGGUGACCUCGCCCUGGAGAUGGAGGCGAGCCGCAGAGGGCCUUGCUACGGCAUUGUGAAGGAAAUCAAUAAUUACUUAUUUCCAAUUUGUUGUUUUAUAAUCGGUAGCACCUGUAUUUACUCAAUAAACGAGAAAGUCCGAUGCAUU